rnacentral:rRNA from 1 species
GAACGCUGGCGGCAGGCCUAACACAUGCAAGUCGAGCGCACCCUUCGGGGCGAGCGGCGGACGGGUUAGUAACGCGUGGGAACAUACCCUUUGGUACGGAAUAGCCUCGGGAAACUGAGAGUAAUACCGUAUGUGCCCUUCGGGGGAAAGAUUUAUCGCCAAAGGAUUGGCCCGCGUAAGAUUAGAUAGUUGGUGGGGUAAUGGCCUACCAAGUCUACGAUCUUUAGCUGGUUUUAGAGGAUGAUCAGCAACACUGGGACUGAGACACGGCCCAGACUCCUACGGGAGGCAGCAGUGGGGAAUCUUAGACAAUGGGCGCAAGCCUGAUCUAGCCAUGCCGCGUGUGUGAUGAAGGCCUUAGGGUCGUAAAGCACUUUCGCCAGAGAUGAUAAUGACAGUAUCUGGUAAAGAAACCCCGGCUAACUCCGUGCCAGCAGCCGCGGUAAUACGGAGGGGGUUAGCGUUGUUCGGAAUUACUGGGCGUAAAGCGUACGUAGGCGGAUCAGAAAGUAUGGGGUGAAAUCCCAGGGCUCAACCCUGGAACUGCCUCAUAAACUCCUGGUCUUGAGUUCGAGAGAGGUGAGUGGAAUUCCAAGUGUAGAGGUGAAAUUCGUAGAUAUUUGGAGGAACACCAGUGGCGAAGGCGGCUCACUGGCUCGAUACUGACGCUGAGGUACGAAAGUGUGGGGAGCAAACAGGAUUAGAUACCCUGGUAGUCCACACCGUAAACGAUGAAUGCCAGUCGUCGGGUAGCAUGCUAUUCGGUGACACACCUAACGGAUUAAGCAUCC